rnacentral:tRNA from 1 species
AAGGAUUUAAGUUAAAUAUUAAACUAAUAACCUUCAAAGUUAUAAAUAGGUUACUAAUCUAACCCUUA